UGCACGCUAUUUAAAAAUCUGAAGGAUGCGUGGGAAAAGGGGUUCUCUGGUCAUGAGAGAUGAUUUUCUGGGAAAAGAAAUGCGGGCGGGCGUAAAAAGGAAGGGCAGUCUCUAUCAGUCUCUGCUGUCUGUCUCUUCCUCCUCUUCCCCCAAGGGAAUACACAGAAUGAUUCUUGCCCAGUACCUUUUCUCUUUGAAUAUUUGAUGGAUGAGGGUACUGAGGCUGUCUUGGGUCAUGAAAGGAAAGCCAUACACUGAAAUUAUGGAACAGAAUGGGUUUCUCUGUGCAGUCUUGGGUAUCCUGGACUCAAUUUGUGGACCAGGCUGGCCUUGAACUCACAGAGAUCCACUUGCCUUUGCCUCCCCGAGUGCUGGGAUUAUAGAUGGAGACUACUACAAAAAAACCACAACCAAUAACAAUGAAGAAUUGUGGAGCCCAGUCCCAAUGGAUAUAUCUAAAAAGGAAAAAAAAAGGAAAAUGAAAUUAUUUUAUUCUGCAUUCAGAAUAAUUUGGAAGUGGACAGGCAUUAUUUUAUCUAUCUAUCUAUCUAUCUAUCUAUCUAUCUAUCUAUCUAUCUUCAAGACAGUGUUUCUCUGUGUAGCCCUGGCUGUCUUUAGACCAAGCUGUAGCUCUGUAGACCAGGCUGGCCUUGAACUCACAGCAAAUUGCCUGCUGCUUCCUCCCCAGUUCUGGGAUUAAAGGUUUCCUGAGUGGUGGAAUUAAAGGCAUGUGCCACU